CAUAAGCAUCGACGGACACGUCCGUGUCGAUCAAAAACUGCUAAUUCGUAUAAAGCCAUUGAGCCAAUCCAACCAGAAACUAGAGCUGUGUAUAUUAUAUGCACCGCAAGCAAUCGACCCGAAUCAUUCAAUACGACAAUAUGA
rnacentral:rRNA from 1 species